rnacentral:rRNA from 1 species
UACGGGGGGAGCAAGCGUUGUUCGGAUUUACUGGGCGUAAAGGGCGCGUAGGCGGUCGUGACAAGUCACUUGUGAAAUCUCCGGGCUUAACUCGGAACGGUCAAGUGAUACUGUCGGACUAGAGUACAGAAGGGGCAACUGGAAUUCUCGGUGUAGCGGUGAAAUGCGUAGAUAUCGAGAGGAACACCUGCGGCGAAGGCGGGUUGCUGGGCUGACACUGACGCUCAUGCACGAAAGCGUGGGGAGCAAACAGG